AAGGAAACGUCUUGGAAACAACUAACAAAAUACCGAACAUCACCUGCAACCGUAGAAGAACGAACAGAACUAUUUAGAGAUGUUAAGCAGAAGACAAUAUCCAAAGUUGAAAUACAUCGAAAGCUACAGCGAGAAGCUUACAACCAAAGUGACGACAGAGGGCUUGGAAAGUGCCUCUCACCUUCUCCAAUAAAAUAAAGAACUUGUUUUGACGUGUCCACAUUUCAUCCUUCGACUUAACGAGUCAUCUGCUCAACCUAGAUGAUCUUCGAACUCAAGCACUCCCUGCAAGAGCAGUUUAGGUGGUCUUUGGACUUCCCGUAACCUGAAUAGGAGCAGAAGGUAGAGAAGCUGAAGAUCGGAGAACACUACGCUUUUUCUUUGUAAGUGGGAAGUUCUGGUCAUGGGCUCAUUCAUAAACUGUAUGCAAGCUAUUUGAUAGUUUACAAGGGGUCAAACAAGGACUUUUUGAAAACAAAAUACUUAACAUCACCGGCAACCGUAGUUGAACGAACAGACCUAUCUAUAAAUGUUAUACAGAAGACAAUAUCCAACGUUGAAAAACACUGGAAGCUACAGCGACAAGCUUACUCCCAUUAGUCUCUUUCGGACAAAAGUAGUGAAAAUUCUGUCGACACCAGAGGAAAUGCUCAUCGUCCUCUGCCGUUGCAGAAAAUUUCAAUGGCGCAAGAAGACUUUGAGAUUGCGACCCCCCCCUCCAUCAAAAUAAAGGACUUAUUCUGGUGUGUACACUUCUCAUCCUUCGACGUAACAUACCGAUGAGUCAUCUACGUCCUCUACUUUAACGUAAGUGGUCUCUGAACUCGAGCACUUCAUGUAAAGUGAACCAGAACAGGAAAGUAGAGAAGAAGAUUCAAGAACAUGAAUUAUUUCUCUUUGUAAGCUUAGCUUGUCUUUGAACUCGAGGAUUUCCCGUAACUUGAGCCGGAAGGUAGAGAAGUUGGAGAUUGAAGAAUAUGAACGAAUUUUCUUUGUAAGUACGAGGUCCUCACCACUUGCAUAUCCAUAAGGUCUAUACGAACUACUUAAUAGUUUAUAAGGGUUCAAAGAACGACGUUUUGAAAACAACCAACGAACACAACUAUUUCAAGACGUUAUACAGAAGACAAGAUACAAUGUUGAUAAACUAGUAACGACAUUUUCACAAAAUUAAAUGCUGCAAGAAGGCUUGGAGAUUUGCCCAACAAAAUAAACAACUAAUUCUGGUGUAUCCACAUCUCAUCCUUCGACAUAACAUGCUAAUGACUUUUGUCUUCUGCUCAACCUGGCUGAUCUCUGAACUCAAACUUUCUGUAAGUUGAGCUAUAACAGGAAAGAAAAGAUGAAGCUUAAGAUUCAAGAAUAUAACUUAU